CUCGUGUUUCCCUUCUUCGUGUGUUGUUUUAUUCGGCGCCGUUUCUGUAAUCAUGUAUCGUAGGUAUGUGUGGCAUGUAUCUGUCGGCCCCUUACUUGUUUUUGGACUUCUAUGCCAGCUGACGGUGACGCAACAGGAUGAGGAUCCACCCCUUGGCAGUGCAGUCUUGUCCAGCGCUGAAAACAAGCUUCCGAUGCAGCCUCCAGCCACCGUGUAGUCAAGCUGCAAAAAGCAGGAAAGUCAAUGCCCGUGACCAUGUCGCACCGCUGCCAAACUAAGCGUCAGCUGCCGUAGCAGGGUCCUUUUAUAAUUGAUCCAGAUGAGGAUCCACCCCUUGGCAGUGCAGUCUUGUCCAGCGCUGAAAACAAGCUUCCGAUGCAGCCUCCAGCCACCGUGUAGUCAAGCUGCAAAAAGCAGGAAAGUCAAUGCCCGUGACCAUGUCGCACCGCUGCCAAACUAAGCGGCAGCGGCCGUAGCAGGGUCCUUUUAUAAUUGAUCUAGGUGGGGAUGUCAGCGCAUGCUCGGUAGCAGGUCCAGGCUGGUAGCGGUCGGCGAUGACAAUCUCUUUCUUGGCAGAUUAGAAUCCACCCCUUGGCAGUGCAGUCUUGUCCAGCGCUGAAAACAAGCUGCCGAUGUAGCCUCCAGCGACCGUGUAGUCAAGCUGCAAAAAGCAGAAAAGUCAAUGCGUGUGACCGU